rnacentral:tRNA from 1 species
GACCGCGUAGUUCAGAUGGCAGAGCAUUGGGCUGGUAUUCCAAAGGUCGUAGGUUCGAUUCCCACCGUGGCCG